rnacentral:rRNA from 1 species
AAUUUUGAAGGGCCGCAGUAUUUUGACUGUGCAAAGGUAGCAUAAUCAUUAGUCUUUUAAUUGAAGGCUGGUAUGAAUGGUUGGAUGAGGUAAAUUCUGUUUUAUAUUAAUUAAAAUUGAAUUUAGAUUUUAAGUAAAAAAACUUAAGUUUUAUUAAGGGACGAGAAGACCCUAUAGAGUUUAAUAAGUGUAAUAUUUAAUUGAGUUAAUAAGAAAUUUUUAAUUAAUAUAAAAUUUAUUUAAUUGGGGUGAUUGGAAGAUAAAGUAAACUCUUCUUUAAAUUUAAUAAUUUAAUUAAUUAUUUGAUCCAUUAUUAAUGAUUAAAAGAUUAAAUUACCUUAGGGAUAACAGCAUAAUUUUUUUUGAGAGUUCUUAUCGAAAAGAAAGAUUGUGACCUCGAUGUUGGAUUAGGAUUAAUAUUA